UUGCAUUUAUGUUUGUUUUCAGUUUUUACUCCAUGACCGUAGACCAAAUGAAGAGCCUUCAGUAAAUGGUCAAGCUUACUACACCACUCUGUCAUUUUUGGAGUGCAGUUUAGCUCGCCCUGAGCUGAAACACUCAAACGCUUUAGUGAGAACAUCACAGCAUCCACAUCUACUCACGUUGCUCAAGGUAGUGAGCAGCAAGGUACAAGUUCUCUGGAUCUUGUUCCUUGGCACUUCUCAUUUUCUCCAAGAGGUCAGCUGGCAGCCCUGUUUCACUGUGCUUGAAAGCACUCACUAACCCCAAGACAUGGCUGGUUUU